rnacentral:rRNA from 1 species
CCUACGGGAGGCAGCAGUGGGGAAUAUUGCACAAUGGGGGAAACCCUGAUGCAGCGACGCCGCGUGAGUGAAGAAGUAAUUCGUUAUGUAAAGCUCUAUCAGCAGGGAAGAAAAUGACGGUUACUUAGUAAGGAGCCCCGGCUAACUACGGGCCAGCAGCCGGGGUAAUACGUAGGGGGCAAGCGUUAUCCGGAUUUACUGGGCGUAAAGGGAGCGUAGACGGCAGUGCAAGUCUGGAGUGAAAGGCAGGGGCUCAACCCCCGGACUGCUUUGGAAACUGUACGGCUGGAGUGCAGGAGAGGUAAGUGGAAUUCCUAGUGUAGCGGUGAAAUGCGUAGAUAUUAGGAGGAACACCAGUGGCGAAGGCGGCUUACUGGACUGUAACUGACGUUGAGGCUCGAAAGCGUGGGGAGCAAACAGGAUUAGAUACCCCUGUAGUC